rnacentral:rRNA from 1 species
UACGGAGGGUGCAAGCGUUGUCCGGAUUUAUUGGGUUUAAAGGGUGCGUAGGCGGGUUUUUAAGUCAGUGGUGAAAGUAUGUCGCUUAACGAUAUAAUUGCCAUUGAAACUGAAGGUCUUGAAUACUGUAGAGGUUGGCGGAAUUCCGCAUGUAGCGGUGAAAUGCAUAGAUAUGCGGAGGAACACCGAAAGAGAAGUCAGCUAACUGGGCAGAUAUUGACGCUGAGGCACGAAAGCGUGGGGAUCGAACAGG